rnacentral:rRNA from 2 species
CCUACGGGAGGCAGCAGUGGGGAAUUUUCCGCAAUGGGCGAAAGCCUGACGGAGCAAUGCCGCGUGGAGGUAGAAGGCCCACGGGUCGUAAACUCCUUUUCUCAGAGAAGAAGCAAUGACGGUAUCUGAGGAAUAAGCAUCGGCUAACUCUGUGCCAGCAGCCGCGGUAAU